rnacentral:lncRNA from 1 species
CUGGGGAUUCAGAGAUAGGAGAAUCUAAAAUGACCAUCUGCAUGCUAAAGAGCUGGAGGAUCUAGUAGUAGUCAAGUGUUGGGAGGCUGAAGAGUGAGCUGGAAGCCUGAAAGACUUGGAGAUGAAUGUCCAAAGGCAAUAAAGAAGACUGGAGUGCCUCCAAAGAAAAGGGCAGCUUACUUUUUCUUUCCCUUUUUAUUCCAUCCAGGUUACAAGCCUAUUCAUUGGCACCACCCACAUCUGGAUUAGGUCUUUCUUCCACAGUUUUUAGGAUAGGAGUUUGUCGCCCACAGAUAUACCAGAGAUUUAGUAAUCUGCUAGGUGGUUCUUACUCAAGUCAAGUUGACACAUCACAAUGACUCUUCUCAGUUCCAGCAUGUGGCAGGAGGUCCAAUUUAUUUUUAAAAGUGAGUGAUGGAUUCAAGAACAGCUGGCUUGAUUCUUCCUGUUCCAUGCCUUAUUGUUCUUCUGUUCUGCAAGGUGAUGGUCGUAUCACUAUGGAGAGUUUCUGUUUACCAAUCCUGAAAAUGCUGACGGAAGAAGCCCUCACAGGAUGAGGGAGAGAUGCUUAUGGGCAGUAAAGCCACGGAGGUGUGAAGACACGGACACCAGAACCAUUGGAUCAGUCAUUUCACCAGGAAAGCAGUGGAAGUCCUGUUACCUCCGGUCUGGAGAGCGGGUUUUUAACAGGUUCAGCAGUGACUCUCCCAAGGGCUCCUGCUCCUCCCAGGCUAUUGGGGAGAAUGAAGACGAAGCUAUAAUGAGUCAAAAUCAGCAGGUUGGAUUUCAAAGAAUAAAAAUAUUCAAGGCAUAACUCCUCUACGUUUAUGCUCACAAAAGGCUGUCUUUGCAAGAACUCUGCAGCUCCGUGUACACUGUUGGCCCUCUACAAAUCAGCAACAAUGACAACAUCGUAAUUAUGCUUCAGAAACAAAGCCAGUGAGAAGUUGCAUCUUAAAUAUGCUUUAUUUGGUUGCUCUAGGAGUGCUGGUUUAAGUUCAGCAUUGAAAAAUACAUGCUCUUCAAUAAAUACGUAUAAAAAUCUAUUCAUCA